rnacentral:rRNA from 1 species
CGGGUGGCGGACGGGUGAGUAAUGUCCGGGAAACUGCCCGAUGGAGGGGGAUAACUACUGGAAACGGUAGCUAAUACCGCAUAACGUCGCAAGACCAAAGAGGGGGACCUUCGGGCCUCUUGCCAUCGGAUGUGCCCAGAUGGGAUUAGCUAGUAGGUGGGGUAACGGCUCACCUAGGCGACGAUCCCUAGCUGGUCUGAGAGGAUGACCAGCCACACUGGAACUGAGACACGGUCCAG